CGGUGGCGAAGGCGGGUCUCUGGGCAGUAACUGACGCUGAGGAGCGAAAGCAUGGGUAGCGAACAGGAUUAGAUACCCUGGUAGUCCAUGCCGUAAACGGUGGGCGCUAGGUGUGGGUUUCCUUCCACGGGAUCCGUGCCGUAGCUAACGCAUUAAGCGCCCCGCCUGGGGAGUACGGCCGCAAGGCUAAAACUCAAAGGAAUUGACGGGGCCCCGCACAAGCGGCGGAGCAUGCGGAUUAAUUCGAUGCAACGCGUAGAACCUUACCUGGGUUUGACAUGGAUCGGGAGUGCUCAGAGAUGGGUGUGCCUCUUUUGGGGUCGGUUCACAGGUGGUGCAUGGCUGUCGUCAGCUCGUGUCGUGAGAUGUUGGGUUAAGUCCCGCAACGAGCGCAACCCUUGUUCACUGUUGCCAGCACGUUAUGGUGGGGACUCAGUGGAGACCGCCGGGGUCAACUCGGAGGAAGGUGGGGAUGACGUCAAGUCAUCAUGCCCCUUAUGUCCAGGGCUUCACGCAUGCUACAAUGGCUGGUACAGAGAGUGGCGAGCCUGUGAGGGUGAGCGAAUCUCGGAAAGCCGGUCUCAGUUCGGAUUGGGGUCUGCAACUCGACCUCAUGAAGUCGGAGUCGCUAGUAAUCGCAGAUCAGCAACGCUGCGGUGAAUACGUUCCCGGGGCUUGUACACACCGCCCGUCAAGUCAUGAAAGUUGGUAACACCCGAAGCCGGUGGCCUAACCGUUGUGGGGGAGCCGUCGAAGGUGGGACUGGUGAUUAGGACUAAGUCGUAACAAGGUAGCCGUACCGGAAGGUGCGGCUG
rnacentral:rRNA from 1 species